rnacentral:rRNA from 1 species
UACGUAGGGUGCAAGCGUUGUUCGGAAUCACUGGGCGUAAAGAGAGCGUAGGCGGGAUUGUAAGAUAGGAGUUUAAUGCAUGGGCUCAACCCAUGGUCUGCUUUUAAUACUGCAGUUCUUGAGUAUGGGAGAGGGCGAUGGAAUUCCAGGUGUAGCGGUGGAAUGCGUAGAUAUCUGGAAGAACACUAGUAGCGAAGGCGGUCGCCUGGCCCAAUACUGACGCUGAGGCUCGAAAGCUAGGGGAGCAAACAGG